UACGUAGGGCGCAAGCGUUAUCCGGAAUUAUUGGGCGUAAAGAGCUCGUAGGCGGUUUGUCGCGUCUGCCGUGAAAGUCCGGGGCUCAACUCCGGAUCUGCGGUGGGUACGGGCAGACUAGAGUGAUGUAGGGGAGACUGGAAUUCCUGGUGUAGCGGUGGAAUGCGCAGAUAUCAGGAGGAACACCCAUAGCGAAGGCAGCUUGCUGGGACGUUACUGACGCUAAGGCGCGAAAGCGUGGGGAGCGAACAGG
rnacentral:rRNA from 1 species